GAUGAACGCUAGCGGCAGGCCUAAUACAUGCAAGUCGAGGGGUAGUGGUUGCUUGCAGCCAUGAGACCGGCGCAUGGGUGCGUAACGCGUAUGCAACCUACCUUCAUCUGGGGGAUAACCCGGAGAAAUCCGGAUUAAUACCGCAUAAAAUCACAGUACGGAAUCGUACAAUGAUCAAACAUUUAUGGGAUGGAGAUGGGCAUGCGUGUCAUUAGUUAGUUGGCGGGGUAACGGCCCACCAAGACCGCGAUGACUAGGGGAUCUGAGAGGAUGACCCCCCACACUGGUACUGAGACACGGACCAGACUCCUACGGGAGGCAGCAGUAAGGAAUAUUGGUCAAUGGGCGCAAGCCUGAACCAGCCAUGCCGCGUGCAGGAAGACGGCCCUCUGGGUUGUAAACUGCUUUUAUUCGGGAAUAAACCUGCUUACGUGUAAGUAGCUGAAUGUACCGAAGGAAUAAGGAUCGGCUAACUCCGUGCCAGCAGCCGCGGUAAGAC
rnacentral:rRNA from 1 species